UUUGGCAUCACAUAUUGGAACAAUAAAAGACUGGAAAGAUACAGAGAAGAUUAGCAUGGUCCCUGCACAAGGAUGACACUCAAAUUAGUGAAACAGUCCAUAUUUUA